GACGAACCGUGCGAACGUUGUUCGGAUUCACUGGGCUUAAAGGGCUCGUAGGCGGCCAACUAAGUCGGAUGUGAAAUCCCCAGGCUUAACCUGGGAACUGCAUCCGAUACUGGAUGGCUUGAAUCCGGGAGAGGGAUGCAGAAUUCCAGGUGUAGCGGUGAAAUGCGUAGAUAUCUGGAGGAAUACCGGUGGCGAAGGCGGCAUCCUGGACCGGCAUUGACGCUGAGGAGCGAAAGCUAGGGGAGCAAACGGG
rnacentral:rRNA from 1 species